ensembl:lncRNA
AUGAGACACGCUGUUCCUAAACAAUGUCACGGCUUUCCACUUUUAAACCUCAUGUAUACAGUCAGUGUGUUUUGGAUGGUUACUGUUGCUGUGCGUCUUUGUGCCCCACUUCAGGCCGUCCUGUUGGGAAUGAGCUCUGGAGAUACUUUCACUCAGAAGUGGCUCUAUAUGAAAGCUCAGUGGGCGUCUCUGGAGACAACAGCUGCAGACUUUAACAAGCAGACCAGCGCUGGUAUAUCACACUCUAAAAAUGGUACAAUGAAGACGCGUAAUCCCAUAAGGAGUCUUUCUGAUGAGAUGAUCAUUUGACUAAAGGCACACAAGACAGACAGAAGGUAAAACAAUCUGUGUUGAUGUUAAUACUCUUAAUGUAAACUAGAAGUCCUGAUAUAUGAUCUGACGUUCCCCUCUUGUAACUUGCAGCAAUGUGUAAACCCCUGUUAAAUCUCUUGCUGUGAGCUGUGAUAAAAAAUAAGAAAAACUUCUUAAAACAUCAGGUAUAGGGCCUUACUGCUUUCUGGAGGCUGUGAACAUUCAUUACAUUAUUUAGUGCCUCUUAGAAUAACAGACUGAUAGAUUUAGCAGGCCCUCAUCUCAAAUGAAUAAUUUUGUCCAAUUUACUGCUGCAUAUCAAAUCUAAGCAAUGAGUUUUACGUGAAUGUUUUUUUUUGCUCUCCUAAAAGUGAUGAUACUAUUUCCACUUUUUCCACGGCAGCUGGAUUUUGAUUCAUCGCUGGCUGCAUUGGGAGUCUCUGCACUAACGAAAAAAUUACUUUUUACCAUUAACAUAUCAGAUUUGACAAAUCAGAUCCGGGAGGAACUUGGGUGUUAAAGACAGAUUAUCAUGCAAUAAUCAUUUUUGCAGCUGUAUUUUCAGUGUAGAAUUAGAUCAAUAGAAUUCGUUUGUUGGAAGUAAGAGUGUUUUUAUACUUUGUGUGUGUGUGUGUGUGUGUGUGUGUGUGCAUAUAUGCUAAUAUCACCCAAAAGCCCCCUUGCAAUGCAGAGCUGCAGAUGCAGAGUUUGUGAUGAUACACAUUUUAAUACAUAAUACAUAUUUUUAGUAUGUAGUAUAGUUAGUUGAAUUGUAAUGUUAUGUUAUCUUCUUCAGUUUUAUAUACUUUUAUAUAGAUCUAUCUAUCUCUGUAUAUAUAUAUAUAUAUAUAUAUAUAUAUAUAUAUAUAUAUAUGUGUGUGUGUGUGUGUGUGUGUGUGUAUAAAUUAAAAAUAUAUUAAAAUAAAAUAUACAACUUGAAUAUAUAAAUAUAAUAUUCUAUUUUAUGUAUAUUUGUUAUUGUAUAUUUGUAAAGAUUUUUAUAUAUACACAUAAAAUUAUAUAAAUAAUUAAAUAAUUGUGUGUGUGUAUAUAUAUAAAUGUAUAUCUAUACAUGUGAAGUAAUAUAUAUUAUUAUUAUUAUUAUUCAUUUGUAGAAUGUUUUGUUUAAAUGUAAAAC